GUCAGAAAGAGGAAAGUUUGCAGAGUUUUGUAUUGGCAAUCAAACAUUCAGCCACAGGUCACAGUCUAGAACCAGACACAUCAGUGUCCUCAACUGCAAAGUAGCCAGGAAGCAGCAUCCCAUAACACAGUCCUAUGUCCACUGUUUUGGAGUUACUCAAGACCUAAGUGUUUUCUUGGAACUGUGUUUGUUACUGAGGAAGCCACAAAUUAAAUAUAAGUCUGCUCUUCAAGAGGUUACAUUCCAGUUAAGGAGAUUGCAUAUCCAUAUUUCCAGAAGUACCAAUGUGAUUGAAGCAAGGGAAAUUGCUAUGGGAUAUCUGACCAACUGGAUAUUCUGCUGGAAGAGCAGAAUGCACUUCAAAGACUAGCCAAUAAAACUCUCAUGGGCUCCUGACACACUGACCUCUGUCAGUUCCUUCAGCACACCAGGCUAAUCCCCAGUCUUGCGCCUUUGGACCAGAGGUUUUCUUUGCUCAGAAUACUGUUUCAACAGAUCUUUGCAUAGCUGGCUCUCGCUAUUUGACUAAAAUGUCAAUCCUCAGAGAGGUACUCCUUAAAUAUCCAAUCUUAAGUAGCAUCCCUUUCUCCCAGGAUCCUGUUUUUCAGAACUCUGUUUUCUUUUUAAAACACUUGUUAUCUGAAAGGAUGUCGUCUGCUUGCUUGUUUGUUCAUUUCUUUAUUGUCUAUUCCAUCUCACCCCUUCUCAGGAUGUAAGCUGUUUAAAGGCAAGGACCUUAUCUGUGUUACAUGCUGUAUUCCCAGGGCUCAGACAGAGCAUGACCUAUCGUAUGUACUAAAUAAAU
rnacentral:lncRNA from 10 species